rnacentral:lncRNA from 1 species
GUAGGUUCUUUAAGCAUUGACGAGCUAAAGACCAUUUUAAAUUCUAAGCCUAGGGAAGCUUACAAUGGAACUAAUCAGAUGUUUUUAUGUCGGUUUGUUCCGAGACAGUGGAAGACUGGAGGUCAUGUGCUUGUGUCUAAUGUUUAGCAAAAUCUUAGUGAAACGAGGGCGAUAGGAAUGGGGGCUGGGGAAGACUUAGAUGGGAUAAAAAGAGGUGCGGCUGGAAGAACUAAAUCACUUUAAAACUUCUGAAAAUAAAUGUUGACCAUUGUAGUCAGAGGAGUAAAAUGUUCAGAGAAAUGGGGAUGAUUAAACAAGAACGGCAAGCCAGAUUGAGUCAGAAAAUUAUCUUCCUGCCAGAAAUUCUGUCUCCCACAACGGCAUCAGGGGGUGGUUACUUGCCCAGGGUGUAGUCAGUUUUUAAAAAGCUUAAGGGUUACCAACAUAUUCCUAAAUUUCCUGAAUUUGCUGUGAUUCCAGGAUUCAUUUAAACUCUUGAGACUGUUUUACUUUCGGCACGAAAUCAGCUCAUGGGCUUUAUAAAUGUAGAACCUACUGCAUUAUAGUUCUUCUUUUUGUUUAUUCUAAAACUGUUAGUAGCAGCCAGCGUAUUAUAUGAUUUGGAUUGGGCCAUGAACAACCGUAACGAGUGAUAAAGCACCCUUUCCUGUUCCAAUGCAAAGAACAACUAUGAAAAGAAAGUACUGGCAAAUUUAUCAUCUUGUAGUUAGUUCCUGGCCAAAGAAAAUGGUAAGGCCAUUCUUUUAAGCAGUUAAAAAAAAAUGGGGAUGGGCUCUUAAACUUUGGCAUGCUAAGGCCAUUCUUUUAAGCAGUUUAAAAAAAUGGGGAUGGGCUCCUAAACUUUGACAUACUAAAGCAGUCGUCAUUUAGGUAAAAUCUAAGUCUUAAUGGAAAUCGUGAUUUCAUAUCUACUGCAGCGUUAGCAAUCACAUAAUGAUAACUUAAAUCAGUAAAUCGUUGAACUCGGUUCUCUAAUCUUUGAAGAAUAGAAAUACUUUUUAUCCCAAAAGAUGUUUUGAGAAUUAAAUUUGCAGAGAAUUUUUUAGGUCUUUAGUUGUAAUUUAUAGAGCUAGGUCUUUUAACUUUAGUGGAAACCAUGCCCUCCAAACCCAAGUGACUGGAGUCAGAAUGUGAAAUAAGACGACAUAAAAUCCCUAUUUCUUAAGGGGCUGGGCGAAAGUAAUGGAACAAAAUGUAACGUUAUGCUAUUGUGGCAGAGAUAGCUAAUGGAAUGUUUCAUUUCUAAGUCUGUAAUUUCAGUAAUUGUUAGAGGCAGUUUUCCAUCAAUAAGUUAGAUCAAAUGGUUAAACCCAAUAUGAAUUUAUAAAAGCUUAAUUUAAUUUUGGAUUGAUUUACCAGAUGUUUAAGGUGGUUAUAAUGGGUAGUGUUGAUGGUGGUGCUUUUGGAAAAAUGAGUAUUAUAUGCCUGCUCAUCCCUUUACAUUAUCUUAUCAUAUAAACUUCUUGAUUACUCGUUAUGAUACUCUUAAAUCGUACAUUUAGAGGAAAAAUCUUAAAGUAAUCUGUAAGACCAUUUCUCCUUAAAAUGAUAUAUUAUGAGAUGAAAGGAAAGAUAAAGAUAAUUUAGAAGAGAUCCAGAAGUGGACUAAAUUUCUGGUAAGGAGGGGGCUAAAGAUGUUAAAAGACAUCUUAGGAAAAGCAUAUGAUUUAUAACUUUUAAAAGUGUCAUUUAGAUGGUUAAGGAUUUGUGUUUAAUAGUUCUCUUGAAAAUAUUGUUUUCCAAAAGUUUAAAAGCCCUAGCUACUUUUAUACAUUUGCCCUUAAAAAAUGUACAGAAUUUAUUACAUCAAACUGCUACAAAGAAAUAAGAAUUCUGAUUUUUGCAAAUUUCCUUGACUUCCAAAGACCUUUGAUGUUCAAGCAAAAUGUAGCAAUUUGGUAAAAGUAAAGGGUGCAUUUCGAACUGAAAUAAACAUAAUGUCCUAUUAAGACCUGUAUUAUAUUUUAUGGAAUUUAACUUAGAAUGUAAGAUAUUAGCUCUGCGGUUUUACAAGCUUGUUUAAAUUCUGCAAUGUAGGGCAACAGAAAAUCCAAACAAAAUCCAUUAAUGACUAUAUUACUUCUUUAUUUUUCUUUUUAAAUAUUAUAUGUGGCCAGUCAGGAUGAAGUUUUUUUUAAACUACAUUUCCUAGUUGGACAGAUCAAGAGUCUUAUAUUUUAGUAGGGGAAACAACCACCAAAGAAAUAAGCAAAAAAAUAUAAUUUCAAAUAUUCAUAAGUGUUAAGAAAAAAAUGAAACAAUAAUGCAAGGUGGGAAAGGAGACAGUGUACCUUACUCAGAUGUACUGUAGGAAUGGGAUGUUCUGGCUCUCAUUACCAGGGAUCCCCUUGUCUUCCCUGGGUUUAGCCAAUGAGAACUGCUGGCAGGAGGUCAGAGGGUAGUAGAAAAAAGAAUUUGGGUUAUUUCUUUCCCCCUCCCUUUGAGCUAGCCUGAGAUUCUGGUGGUGAUGGCAUUCCUCUACAACUGCGUACCCUGUCAGAUACCCGCCCAUGGCUCUAACUUUCACUGGGCUGCUUCAGAUCCAGCUGUGGUGAUGGCAUCCCAAUGUACUAGCCCCUGAAUGCCUCAGCAUUCCUUGUUUGGCCUCUUAACUCUGCCCACAUUUCUGUAAUUGUUCUUUACAUUAGUUUGUACUCAAAAUCUCCUUGGAACUGUGCCUUCAGUUUCCUGCUAGGACAAGGGUUUGAAUUUCAGAGCUGGCCUCACUCUGCGAUGAGAACAAAUGUCUUGCCAUGUGAUACUAACUUUCCAUUACAUGCUGAAGCAUUUGCAGUCCCAGAGGCAAAGAAUUUAUGGUUGGUCUCAAACUCCUGGGUUCAAGCAAUCCUCCUGCCUUGGCUGCCCAAAAUGCUGGGAUUACAGGUGUGAGGUUCUUCACAGGGGAAUGAAGUGAGCAGAAAGUAGCUGCUUGCCAAGUGAAAGAAGCAAUGGACCAAUAUAGGCUUUGAGGUGCACUUGUAAGCUGGUGUGUUGGGAACUGCCGACGUGGUUAGAUGAUGCUCUCUGAUGGUCUUUCUGUUAUAUUAAGGAGUAGAGAUUUUUAAAUAUUAGAUAAUUUUAUGUUUCUAUUGCUAAAUUGGGGUUGAGGGGGAUGUUGGUCUGUCAUUCUAUUUCACUUCAAAUGAAGAUGCAUUUUUAUCUGGAACGUAUGUGGAACUGUCUUGGAAUUUGACUCUGCCGGGUCAGAUUAUGUCCACACAGCAUACAAGCAAAUUCCCAGGAUACCAGGUUGCUGUUUGAGGUUGGCUGCUGCUAAUUCCUCUCCUAGAGAAGAGGACACUCUAGUUCUAGCCCCAGCUCUGCAACUGGCAGAUCACCUCAGCUCUCUGGGCCUCUGUUCUUCCUCCUCUGAAAAAUAAGGAGGCUGAACUAGACAAUUCCUAG